rnacentral:rRNA from 1 species
AUUAGCUAGUUGGUAAGGUAAUGGCUUACCAAGGCCUACGAUGUUAGGGGAUCUGAUAGGAUGGCACCCCCACACGUGGUACUGAGAACACGGACCAGACUCAUAACGGGGAGGCAGGCAGUAAGGAAUAUUGGUCAAUGGGCGCAAGCCUUGAACCAGUCCAUGCCGCGGUUGCAAAUCAAAGACGGCCCUACGGGUUGUAAACCUGCUUUAUACCGGAAUUAAACCUUGAUACGGUGUAUCGAGCUGAAUGUACGGAAGGAAUAAGGGAUCGGCUAACUCCGG